rnacentral:rRNA from 1 species
AUUGAACGCUGGCGGCAUGCCUUACACAUGCAAGUCGAACGGUAACGCGGGGCAACCUGGCGACGAGUGGCGAACGGGUGAGUAAUGCAUCGGAACGUGCCCAGUAGUGGGGGAUAGCCCGGCGAAAGCCGGAUUAAUACCGCAUACGACCUACGGGUGAAAGCGGGGGAUCGCAAGACCUCGCGCUAUUGGAGCGGCCGAUGUCAGAUUAGGUUGUUGGUGGGGUAAAGGCCUACCAAGCCUGCGAUCUGUAGCUGGUCUGAGAGGACGACCGGCCACACUGGGACUGAGACACGGCCCAGACUCCUACGGGAGGCAGCAGUGGGGAAUUUUGGACAAUGGGCGCAAGCCUGAUCCAGCCAUGCCGCGUGCGGGAAGAAGGCCUUCGGGUUGUAAACCGCUUUUGUCAGGGAAGAAAUCUCUUGAGCUAAUACCUCGGGGGGAUGACGGUACCUGAAGAAUAAGCACCGGCUAACUACGUGCCAGCCGCCGCCGUAAAAC